rnacentral:rRNA from 1 species
AUUGAACGCUGGCGGCAGGCCUAACACAUGCAAGUCGAACGGUAACAGGAAGAAGCUUGCUUCUUUGCUGACGAGUGGCGGACGGGUGAGUAAUGUCUGGGAAACUGCCUGAUGGAGGGGGAUAACUACUGGAAACGGUAGCUAAUACCGCAUAAUGUCGCAAGACCAAAGAGGGGGACCUUCGGGCCUCUUGCCAUCGGAUGUGCCCAGAUGGGAUUAGCUAGUAGGUGGGGUAACGGCUCACCUAGGCGACGAUCCCAAGCUGGUCUGAGAGGAUGACCAGCCACACUGGAACUGAGACACGGUCCAGACUCCUACGGGAGGCAGCAGUGGGGAAUAUUGCACAAUGGGCGCAAGCCUGAUGCAGCUAUGCCGCGUGUAUGAAGAAGGCCUUCGGGUUGUAAAGUACUUUCAGCGGGGAGGAAGGGAGUAAAGUUAAUACCUUUGCUCAUUGACGUUACCCGCAGAAGAAGCACCGGCUAACUCCGUG